rnacentral:rRNA from 1 species
GCAGUCGAGCGGACAGAUGGGAGCUUGCUCCCUGAUGUUAGCGGCGGACGGGUGAGUAACACGUGGGUAACCUGCCUGUAAGACUGGGAUAACUCCGGGAAACCGGGGCUAAUACCGGAUGGUUGUUUGAACCGCAUGGUUCAAACAUAAAAGGUGGCUUCGGCUACCACUUACAGAUGGACCCGCGGCGCAUUAGCUAGUUGGUGAGGUAACGGCUCACCAAGGCAACGAUGCGUAGCCGACCUGAGAGGGUGAUCGGCCACACUGGGACUGAGACACGGCCCAGACUCCUACGGGAGGCAGCAGUAGGGAAUCUUCCGCAAUGGACGAAAGUCUGACGGAGCAACGCCGCGUGAGUGAUGAAGGUUUUCGGAUCGUAAAGCUCUGUUGUUAGGGAAGAACAAGUACCGUUCGAAUAGGGCGGUACCUUGACGGUACCUAACCAGAAAGCCACGGCUAACUACGUGCCAGCAGCCGCGGUAAUACGUAGGUGGCAAGCGUUGUCCGGAAUUAUUGGGCGUAAAGGGCUCGCAGGCGGUUUCUUAAGUCUGAUGUGAAAGCCCCCGGCUC